UACGAAGGGGGCUAGCGUUGCUCGGAAUCAGCUGGGCGUAAAGGGCGCGUAGGCGGCGUUUUAAGUCGGGGAUGAAAGCCCGUGUCGGCUCAACCACAAGAAUGGCCCUUCGAUACUGGGACGCUUGAGUAUGGUAGAGGUUGUGGAACUGCGAGUGUAGAGGUGAAAUUCGUAGAUAUUCGCAAGAACACCGGUGGCGAAGGCGGCCAACUGGACCGAUUACUGACG
rnacentral:rRNA from 1 species